UUGGAUUUCCUUUGGCAGGGUUCCCUUGUAUGGAAGUUCUCGGGAGAACAACACUCUCAGAGUCCCAUUGUCUCAAAGAAUUCUUAAUGGACAGGACAGAUUCCAAGCCUCUUGGAUAAGACUGAAGCCCUCCAUCACAGCCCAUCAAUCCGUUUCCUGGAGUUUGGAACCACAGCCAUGUGCCUCAUCAGUGUAAGACUGAGUCUCAGCUCUCACUUCAAGGAGGACUCAAGACAAGCAAAAGAAGUAAACUUUUGCUGGGUGCAGUGGCUCACACCUGUAAUCCCAGCACUUUGGGAGGCCAAGGCGGGUGGAUUACUUGAGGUCAGCAGUUUGAGACCAACCUGACCAACAUGAUGAAAUGUUGUCUGUACAAACAUUUCAUCAUAUGUUGUCUGUACAAAAUACAAAAAUUAGGCUGGGCGCCAUGGCUCAUCCCUGUAAUCCCAGUACUUUGGGAGACCAAGGCGGGUGGAUCACCUGAGGUCAGAAGUUUGAGACCAGCCUGGGCAACAGAAUGAAACCCCAUCUCUACUAAAAAUAGAAAAAUAAACUGGGUGUGGUGGCG
rnacentral:antisense_RNA from 1 species